CCUACGGGUGGCUGCAGUGGGGAAUCUUGGGCAAUGGGCGCAAGCCUGCCCCAGCAACGCCGCGUGAAGGAAGAAGGCUUUCGGGUUGUAAACUUCUUUUCUGAGGGACGAAGAAAGUGACGGUACCUCAGGAAUAAGCCACGGCUAACUACGUGCCAGCAGCCGCGGUAAUACGUAGGUGGCAAGCGUUAUCCGGAUUUAUUGGGUGUAAAGGGCGUGUAGGCGGGAAAGCAAGUCAGAUGUGAAAACUCAGGGCUCAACCCUGAGCCUGCAUUUGAAACUGUUUUUCUUGAGUGCUGGAGAGGCAAUCGGAAUUCCGUGUGUAGCGGUGAAAUGCGUAGAUAUACGGAGGAACACCGUUAGCGAAGGCGGCAAUCUGGCUGGAAACUGACGCUGAGGUGCGAAAGCGUGGGUAGCAAACAGGAUUAGAUACCCUUGUAGUC
rnacentral:rRNA from 1 species